AGAGACGGUUAGUUUUCGAUCGGUCACGUGACUCAACAUGGUGCCAUCAAGAGGAAUUAUCUCACAUAAACAGCUUUGAUCUUCACAUAUUCAUGAAAAAUAUCCAAAACUAUUUCGCUACACUACUCUCCUCAGAGGUGAAUGUGGGUGGACAGGCAGGAGAAAAACAAGCAGCAGAAGCUACAGUAAACAAAUGAUUUUCAUCCGAGGAUGGACGCGACAGAAACUUCAUCCACAGACGCCACACAUAGCGCGCAAAAGGACAGAGGCACCGAUCUAGACAGGGACAUGCCUUGUAGAAACAUUCGAUCGGUGAUGGAUGGGGAUGACGUGCCCUC